rnacentral:miRNA from 1 species
UGACAGGAAUGCAUUGGUGUU